rnacentral:rRNA from 1 species
AAAUUGAAGAGUUUGAUCAUGGCUCAGAUUGAACGCUGGCGGCAGGCCUAACACAUGCAAGUCGAACGGUAACAGGAAGCAGCUUGCUGCUUCGCUGACGAGUGGCGGACGGGUGAGUAAUGUCUGGGAAACUGCCUGAUGGAGGGGGAUAACUACUGGAAACGGUGGCUAAUACCGCAUAACGUCGCAAGACCAAAGAGGGGGACCUUCGGGCCUCUUGCCAUCAGAUGUGCCCAGAUGGGAUUAGCUGGUUGGUGAGGUAACGGCUCACCAAGGCGACGAUCCCUAGCUGGUCUGAGAGGAUGACCAGCCACACUGGAACUGAGACACGGUCCAGACUCCUACGGGAGGCAGCAGUGGGGAAUAUUGCACAAUGGGCGCAAGCCUGAUGCAGCCAUGCCGCGUGUAUGAAGAAGGCCUUCGGGUUGUAAAGUACUUUCAGCGGGGAGGAAGGUGUUGCGGUUAAUAACCGCAGCAAUUGACGUUACCCGCAGAAGAAGCACCGGCUAACUCCGUGCCAGCAGCCGCGGUAAUACGGAGGGUGCAAGCGUUAAUCGGAAUUACUGGGCGUAAAGCGCACGCAGGCGGUCUGUCAAGUCGGAUGUGAAAUCCCCGGGCUCAACCUGGGAACUGCAUUCGAAACUGGCAGGCUUGAGUCUUGUAGAGGGGGGUAGAAUUCCAGGUGUAGCGGUGAAAUGCGUAGAGAUCUGGAGGAAUACCGGUGGCGAAGGCGGCCCCCUGGACAAAGACUGACGCUCAGGUGCGAAAGCGUGGGGAGCAAACAGGAUUAGAUACCCUGGUAGUCCACGCCGUAAACGAUGUCUACUUGGAGGUUGUGCCCUUGAGGCGUGGCUUCCGGAGCUAACGCGUUAAGUAGACCGCCUGGGGAGUACGGCCGCAAGGUUAAAACUCAAAUGAAUUGACGGGGGCCCGCACAAGCGGUGGAGCAUGUGGUUUAAUUCGAUGCAACGCGAAGAACCUUACCUGGUCUUGACAUCCACGGAAGUUUUCAGAGAUGAGAAUGUGCCUUCGGGAACCGUGAGACAGGUGCUGCAUGGCUGUCGUCAGCUCGUGUUGUGAAAUGUUGGGUUAAGUCCCGCAACGAGCGCAACCCUUAUCCUUUGUUGCCAGCGGUCCGGCCGGGAACUCAAAGGAGACUGCCAGUGAUAAACUGGAGGAAGGUGGGGAUGACGUCAAGUCAUCAUGGCCCUUACGACCAGGGCUACACACGUGCUACAAUGGCGCAUACAAAGAGAAGCGACCUCGCGAGAGCAAGCGGACCUCAUAAAGUGCGUCGUAGUCCGGAUUGGAGUCUGCAACUCGACUCCAUGAAGUCGGAAUCGCUAGUAAUCGUGGAUCAGAAUGCCACGGUGAAUACGUUCCCGGGCCUUGUACACACCGCCCGUCACACCAUGGGAGUGGGUUGCAAAAGAAGUAGGUAGCUUAACCUUCGGGAGGGCGCUUACCACUUUGUGAUUCAUGACUGGGGUGAAGUCGUAACAAGGUAACCGUAGGGGAACCUGCGGUUGGAUCACCUCCUUACCUUAAAGAA